rnacentral:hammerhead_ribozyme from 1 species
AUCUAAUUGAUGAGUUCUAAAUAGGACGAAACACGCGUUCUGGAU